rnacentral:lncRNA from 1 species
GUAGCAAUGAGAAACUGCCACGUCAAAGAUCUCUGCAAAAGUACAUUCGGGAACAUCUCCUACAUGCUCAUGUUGGCUUCAGUGCAGUAUUUUCCCCUAAAAGGGGAUCAUCUGAGUUAUCUUCAUCCCUGUCUUCUUCCAGGAGCUUUGCUCUACAUGCACGACAGCAAGGAUUUGGACAAGGAGGACAACCCACAAGUGCUACCUGAUGGUCACCACGUGGAAGGACAAAGUCUCUACUACCAGGUAGUGCUCGAUAUAUCUCCAAAUGACUUGAAGCAGAAGGAUGCUGCUACCAAGGAAGAGUUUGGACUCAGUUAUGCCAGCGUACAUCCAAAGUUGGCAUCCCCUGAUGCCAAGAGCUCUGCCUUCGUCAGCUCUCCGCAUUCUUUUGGGAGCUGCUGGAAAUGGCAUCCUCAGACAUCUGCCUGCUCAGAGCUGAAGGCAGAGAUGGCAAAGGGAAACAAAAAAAAAAUCACAACUGUAUGUUUUUUGGCUCUGGGGUGAAGAGACUCAGCAGGAAAAUUGCCUCAAAAGCUCUUGGCAGGACUGUUUGGAGUCAGCAUUUGUUGGGGCUGCUUCUGGCCUGCCAUAAAAAGCGCAGCGGUGCCGUUUGCUCCUUUCCUUCCUCUGCUCCAAGGAACAUGGGCUUGCUGGCAAGCCGCUUGUUUUCCAGACUGUCUUGUUUCUCGGCAUGGAAAACCCCAUGGAAAAAAAUAAAUAUAAUAAAAAAAUCAAGGUCAUUGCCUGGAGCCCUUCUUAUAACGCUGUCUGCUCCCCUGCAGAGGUCCGUCCCUGCCAAAGUCCUGGAGGGUUUGUGGCCAGGAGAUGGCAUUGGCUUCUCAGUGCUUGUGCCCUGAGAAACCCCAGCAAGGUGGUUUCUCAGCCUUUAUCUGCUAAUAUUGCAGCAUGUCCCUAGACCAGGCUUUGCAACGCCACUUUUUUUUUUUUCAGCACUUGGACUUUUUCCUCCUGAGGUGGCUUAUUCGUAAGCAGGCGAGCGAUCAGAUCGAUGCCGGGUAGGAAAGCUGUUAGAGCAAGCCCAGCUCUCCUCUAAUUACACCCUGCUGAGCAAAAGGCUGCUCAGACGGCCAGGGCACAGGGCUGGGGACUUGAGCCUGGUUCCCCACGCUUGUGGGAUAUGGUUUCACCCACCAGGAUUUGGGAUUUAGGGUGAGAGUAAAUGCUCCAGCAGCCCCAUGCUGGGUUUGUGCUACCUGAGUCACCUUCUGUAGAUAAAACCACACGCUCCUUUCCCUUGGGGUUGCACUGAUGUGGACAAUUAAGAGCUGAACACAGUGGUGUGGAUUUCCCGGCAGAGAUCCCAAUUAGCACCAGCUCGUUUCCAGCCAGCACCACCAGAAGUCACGGCCGAUGUGAUCGAGGCAGGGGGGUGGGUUCCAGCAGGGUUUUCCACGUGUUAUGCUUUCCACCUUUCUCUUUUUGCAGAAAGAACAGGAAAAAAAUCAUCUUUUUGACAAGAAUCCUUGGAUGGAAAGGUUUCUCCUGGCCUGGCACUGAAGAUCUGGUCAUCGUGGUUCUGCUUUCCCACGGAGGACCAUGCA